AAACCAACCGGGAUUGCCUUAGUAACGGCGAGUGAAGCGGCAAAAGCUCAAAUUUGAAAUCUGGUACCUUCGGUGCCCGAGUUGUAAUUUGGAGAGGGCAACUUUGGGGCCGUUCCUUGUCUAUGUUCCUUGGAACAGGACGUCAUAGAGGGUGAGAAUCCCGUGUGGCGAGGAGUGCGGUUCUUUGUAAAGUGCCUUCGAAGAGUCGAGUUGUUUGGGAAUGCAGCUCUAAGUGGGUGGUAAAUUCCAUCUAAAGCUAAAUAUUGGCGAGAGACCGAUAGCGAACAAGUACAGUGAUGGAAAGAUGAAAAGAACUUUGAAAAGAGAGUGAAAAAGUACGUGAAAUUGUUGAAAGGGAAGGGCAUUUGAUCAGACAUGGUGUUUUGUGCCCUCUGCUCCUUGUGGGUAGGGGAAUCUCGCAUUUCACUGGGCCAGCAUCAGUUUUGGUGGCAGGAUAAAUCCAUAGGAAUGUAGCUUGCCUCGGUAAGUAUUAUAGCCUGUGGGAAUACUGCCAGCUGGGACUGAGGACUGCGACGUAAGUCAAGGAUGCUGGCUAAUGGUUAUAUGCCGC
rnacentral:rRNA from 1 species